rnacentral:rRNA from 1 species
GACGGAGGAUGCAAGUGUUAUCCGGAAUCACUGGGCGUAAAGCGUCUGUAGGUGGUUUAACAAGUCUACUGUUAAAAAUUGAAGCUUAACUUCAAAGAUGCCGUAGAAACUUUUAAACUUGAGGAUGGUAGGGGUAGAGGGAAUUUCCAGUGGAGCGGUGAAAUGCGUAGAUCUUGGAAAGACCACCAAUGGCGAAGGCACUCUACUGGGCCAUGACUGACGCUGAGACGCGAAAGCGUGGGGAGCGAACAGG